UACGUAGGCAGCGAGCGUUGUUCGGAGUUACUGGGCGUAAAGGGUGUGUAGGCGGUUGUUUAAGUUUGGUGUGAAAUCUCCCGGCUCAACUGGGAGGGUGCGCCGAAUACUGAAUAACUAGAGUGCGGGAGGGGAAAGUGGAAUUCCUGGUGUAGCGGUGAAAUGCGUAGAUAUCAGGAGGAACACCGGUGGUGUAGACGGCUUUCUGGACCGUAACUGACGCUGAGACACGAAAGCGUGGGUAGCAAACAGG
rnacentral:rRNA from 1 species